CACAUCAUCACCACAGGAGGAUUGUCUCAUGACCGUGGAGUCCUUGCAUUUAUAUAAAAAAAAUAGUCAUGAUAACUAGGAAAGGCUGUCUCUUCAGGCAUUCAACCCAGUCUGGCUAGAGAUAGAGGCUCCUGAUGUUGGCCUAUGAAAUCUUGGGGAUCAAGCCAUCCUUCCAUUUGAGCUCUGGAGUUGAUGGGCCUACCCCAGUAGGCCCCAUGCCACCAUGCCCGGCUGGUACUCAUCCAUCUCCACUUUACAAAUGAGGAGCUGAGACUCAGACAACACAGCAAGCCCAAGAUCACAGGGCCUAAAAGUGGCGGAGGUUCUCAGAUCUGAAUUGGAUAGGUCAAAGGCUACCGCACACGGACUGGGGUGAGGCUCCUCUGGUAACAUGCCUGCUGCUCAAACAUAGAAAUCUGAGUCUGAGUCCCAAGAAAUUCCCUGCCCAGUCAUCCUGUCCAAAUCAGUGCGCUCCAAGUUCAGUGGGGACCCUGUCUCAAAGAAUGAAGUGGAAAGCGACAGAGGAAUACAACCAGCAUCUAACUGUGACCAUCACACAGGUCUGUACCCAGUGCAUAUGUAGAUCAUGUGUCCCUGAUAAGA
rnacentral:lncRNA from 1 species